rnacentral:rRNA from 1 species
AUUGACGCUGGCGGCAUGCCUUACACAUGCAAGUCGAACGGCAGCACGGGAGCAAUCCUGGUGGCGAGUGGCGAACGGGUGAGUAAUAUAUCGGAACGUGCCCAGUCGUGGGGGAUAACGUAGCGAAAGCUACGCUAAUACCGCAUACGAUCUAUGGAUGGAAAGCGGGGGAUCGCAAGACCUCGCGCGAUUGGAGCGGCCGAUAUCAGAUUAGGUAGUUGGUGGGGUAAAGGCUCACCAAGCCAACGAUCUGUAGCUGGUCUGAGAGGACGACCAGCCACACUGGGACUGAGACACGGCCCAGACUCCUACGGGAGGCAGCAGUGGGGAAUUUUGGACAAUGGGCGCAAGCCCUGAUCCAGCAAUGCCGCGUGCCAGGAUGAAGG